rnacentral:rRNA from 1 species
AUUGAACGCUGGCGGCAGGCUUAACACAUGCAAGUCGAACGCCCCGCAAGGGGAGUGGCAGACGGGUGAGUAACGCGUGGGAAUCUACCUAGUUCUACGGAACAACAGUUGGAAACGACUGCUAAUACCGUAUACGCCCUACGGGGGAAAGAUUUAUCGGAAUUAGAUGAGCCCGCGUAAGAUUAGCUAGUUGGUGAGGU